rnacentral:tRNA from 1 species
GAAGUAUUAGUUAAUUCAUAAUCUAGGAUUGUCAAUCCUAAGUUACUAAUUUUUAGUAUACUUCU